AUUUAUAUAGUUUAAAAAAAAACAUUAUAUUUUCAAUAUAAAAAUAUAAAUAAUAAUUUAUUUUAUAAAUA
rnacentral:tRNA from 1 species